rnacentral:lncRNA from 1 species
CUGGAAGACAAUGACAGAGUGCUUGCCUGGGGAGUCGGAGGAGCUCCGGUUAUGUCCAAGCCGAACCCCUGGAGCCUCUGGACUGCCUGGCACUGAGGGAGCGGGAACUGGACGGUGGGCAUGUGGCCGGGAGGAGCCUUCCAACCAGAAGAAACUAAGUUUUCAAGUUUCCUGCUGUGUCAUCUCAACUGGAAAGUGUCGUCCCCCAGGAAGUCUCCUGCCCUCCCUCUCUGCACAGGGAGCCGCUUCCCACUCUGUCCUUCGAUGGACACGCUGAUGCAGCUGGGAAUGAGCUUGGAAACGCUAACUGACCAGAGUGAUUUCUGGGCCCUGAGUGCAUUACAGAUGGAGAAAGCUUCUGAAUUCUCUAUGGAACUCCAGGCCUGACCUUGGGAUGGGAGACGGGCGGCUGGGCGCACAAGGAAAGAGGCCUCGCCUUGCGCCACGGAGGAGGUGCUACCCCGAGCACUGUCUGGGGAGGAUUUCAAG